AUGCUUCAUAAACCUCCAAAAACCUGUCAAAAAGCCAGCUGCUACUGCUUCCCCUGCUAUGUAUCAGUCCAAAUUUACACUAAAUUAUCAAAAACAAAACUGCAUCUAAAAAGUUACAAGGUUAGCCGACCAUUUUGUUCAAAAGCUAUCAAACUUUCCCUCCUAAAUGUUAGUUUUCUAUCUAUAAAAAAGAGAGUGUGGGAUCAUAAAUAA